ensembl:lncRNA novel transcript
CAGUCAGUGACACCAACAGAGGCUGCGCUCAGUGGGGCAACCUCUCCUCCUCCGCAGCCCCAGCCUCCUCCCUGACUCUGCCAGGCAGCUAGCUCCAGCCAGGUCCUCCAACACUCCCCUUGUCCUGGAGGGCCAGCCUGGGGCCUGGCAACGCCCAGCUGUUCAACAUGAAGUUGCCCCAGGACCCCCAGGAUCACCCUGGAGGGGCCCCCAUCAGGAGACGCAAGACCCCUGGGCCAGGGCUGAGAGGGCCUGUUCACUUGCUGAGCUGCUGAUGGGCAGGUGACGGCCUAUCCUGCAGCAGUUAGAGGGCAGCUAGGGAGACGUGGGCUCCUACCUUUCUCUCCCUGCACCCCUUCUCCAGCAUUGUUCCCAGCAGGCUUGGGACUCCACUGAACUUGGAUCUCUUUGGUUUUGUUCCUUGUCCUCUCCCUCUGCUCACACACUGGGCUCCAAGGAGCCCGUUCAACCCCAGAUUCUUGGAUUCAGAAUCCUGGGAUCAUCAAAUCCCAGAGAUGUCAAAGCUCAUUUGGUCUGCCCCUUCCUUAGAGCUACACCAUCCGGCCUUGACCCUUGGAGAUGGGAUGUCCACUUGGCUGGGUUUAUUGCACCCUUGCUGUAUGCAAGGCUCUUUGCUUAUCAGGCUUGGAGAAAUUGAGUUAGGUGGUGCAAAAGAGGAUACAGAGGGAAAUAGUGCCCGGCCUGCCUUAGGAAGCCCACAGUCCAAUAAAAAAGACACAAGAA